rnacentral:rRNA from 1 species
UAAUACGGGAGGCAGCAGUGGGGAAUAUUGCACAAUGGGCGCAAGCCUGAUGCAGCCAUGCCGCGUGUGUGAAGAACGCCUUCGGGUUGUAAAGCACUUUCAGUCAGGAGGAAAGGUUAGUAGUUAAUACCUGCUAGCUGUGACGUUACUGACAGAAGAAGCACCGGCUAACUCCGUGCCAGCAGCCGCGGUAAUACGGAGGGUGCGAGCGUUAAUCGGAAUUACUGGGCGUAAAGCGUACGCAGGCGGUUUGUUAAGCGAGAUGUGAAAGCCCCGGGCUCAACCUGGGAACUGCAUUUCGAACUGGCAAACUAGAGUGUGAUAGAGGGUGGUAGAAUUUCGGGUGUAGCGGUGAAAUGCGUAGAGAUCUGAAGGAAUACCGAUGGCGAAGGCAGCCACCUGGGUCAACACUGACUCUCAUGUACGAAAGCGUGGGGAGCAAACAGGAUUAGAUACCCUGGUAGUCCACGCCGUAAACGAUGUCUACUAGAAGCUCGGAGCCUCGGUUCUGUUUUUCAAAGCUAACGCAUUAAAUACACCGCCU